AGAGUUUGAUCCCUGGCUCAGGAUGAACGCUAGCGGCAGGCUUAACACAUGCAAGUCGAGGGGUAGGAGCAGCUUGCUGCUUUGAGACCGGCGCACGGGUGCCGUAACGCGUAUACAAUCUACCUUUUACAGAGGGAUAGCCCAGAGAAAUUUGGAUUAAUACCUCAUAGUAUUUUCGAAUCGCAUGAUUUGAUUAUUAAAGUUCCAACGGUAGAAGAUGAGUAUGCGUCCCAUUAGCUAGAUGGUAAGGUAACGGCUUACCAUGGCUACGAUGGGUAGGGGUCCUGAGAGGGAGAUCCCCCACACUGGUACUGAGACACGGACCAGACUCCUACGGGAGGCAGCAGUGAGGAAUAUUGGACAAUGGGCGCAAGCCUGAUCCAGCCAUGCCGCGUGCAGGAAGAAGGUCCUAUGGAUUGUAAACUGCUUUUUAUACAGGGAGAAACACCUCUACGUGUAGAGACUUGACGGUACUGUAUGAAUAAGGACCGGCUAACUCCGUGCCAGCAGCCGCGGUAAUACGGAGGGUCCAAGCGUUAUCCGGAAUCCUUGGGUUUAAAGGGUCC
rnacentral:rRNA from 1 species